rnacentral:rRNA from 1 species
UACGGGGGGGGCAAGCGUUGUUCGGAAUUACUGGGCGUAAAGGGCUCGUAGGCGGCCAACUAAGUCAGACGUGAAAUCCCUCGGCUUAACCGGGGAACUGCGUCUGAUACUGGAUGGCUUGAGUUUGGGAGAGGGAUGCGGAAUUCCAGGUGUAGCGGUGAAAUGCGUAGAUAUCUGGAGGAACACCGGUGGCGAAGGCAGCCCCCUGGGUCAAGAUUGACGCUCAUGCACGAAAGCGUGGGGAGCAAACAGG